rnacentral:rRNA from 2 species
AGAACGAACGCUGGCGGCAGGCUUAACACAUGCAAGUCGAACGGUUGUAGCAAUACAGCAGUGGCAGACGGGUGAGUAACACGUGGGAACCUUCCUAGGGGUACGGAACAACUCAGGGAAACUUGAGCUAAUACCGUAUACGUCCGUGAGGAGAAAGUUUUAACGCCCCUAGACGGGCCCGCGUAGGAUUAGGUAGUUGGUGAGGUAACGGCUCACCAAGCCUACGAUCCUUAGCUGAUCUGAGAGGAUGAUCAGCCACACUGGGACUGAGACACGGCCCAGACUCCUACGGGAGGCAGCAGUGGGGAAUCUUGGACAAUGGGCGCAAGCCUGAUCCAGCCAUGCCGCGUGAGUGAAGAAGGCCUUCGGGUUGUAAAGCUCUUUUACCAGGGACGAUAAUGACGGUACCUGGAGAAUAAGCCCCGGCAAACUUCGUGCCAGCAGCCGC